UACGUAGGGGGCUAGCGUUGUCCGGAAUCAUUGGGCGUAAAGAGCGUGUAGGCGGUCCGGUAAGUCCGCUGUGAAAGUCGGGGGCUCAACCCUCGAAUGCCGGUGGAUACUGUCGGGCUAGAGUACGGAAGAGGCGAGUGGAAUUCCUGGUGUAGCGGUGAAAUGCGCAGAUAUCAGGAAGAACACCCGUGGCGAAGGCGGCUCUCUGGAACGCAACUGACGCUGAGACGCGAAAGCGUGGGGAGCAAACAGG
rnacentral:rRNA from 1 species